GACGAACGCUGGCGGCGUGCCUAACACAUGCAAGUCGAGCGGGGUUGAAGCGAGAGGUAACUCGAGCUUCUACCUAGCGGCGGACGGGUGAGUAACGCGUGGGCAACCUGCCUCAAGGUUUGGGAUAACAGCCCGAAAGGGCUGCUAAUACCGGAUAUGCCUAUGGCCUCGCAUGGGGCUAUGAGCAAAGGGGAAACCCGCCUUGAGAUGGGCCCGCGUCCCAUCAGCUAGUUGGUGAGGUAACAGCUCACCAAGGCGACGACGGGUAGCCGGCCUGAGAGGGUGACCGGCCACACUGGGACUGAGACACGGCCCAGACUCCUACGGGGGGCAGCAGUGGGGGAUCUUGCACAAUGGGCGAAAGCCUGAUGCAGCGACGCCGCGUGAGCGAAGAAGGCCUCGGUGUAAAGCUCUGUCUGGAGGACGGAACAAAAUAGACGGUACCUACCCGGACGGAAGGACCGACCGGACUAACGUAACCGUUGCCGAGCGAGCCGACCGGUAAAAGUACGAACGUCGG
rnacentral:rRNA from 1 species